rnacentral:lncRNA from 10 species
AAAGGCUGGAACAACAAAUGAAUACAGGAAUGAUGCUAAUAUAAAAAUACAAACCCUAAAUUUUCUUUAUAUAUUUUGAGGGUAAGCUAGUUUCAGAUUUUUCUCUAAGGUUUUGUAGGAAGAGAAAAAUUGGUCACACUAACGCCAUUUUAAAAUAUGCCCCCAUCUGUAAGAGGCAGAGCCACCUGAGGUGAAAAGGUAAACGGCUUGUGUAAGAUUUGGCUGAAAGUCCAGAAAUUAACUCAAGUCCUGGAACAUGUCCUGGGACACUCCCCCGGAACGAUUGUUCAAGUCCUGGAGUACGUUUCGGAACGCUGCUCCCGGAACACCGCUCCUGGAGCGAUUGUUUCAAUGUUGCUUGCUCGGAAUGGCCCUCCUGAGCAAACAACAGACGGUGCUCAAAGUAACAACUGGACUUAAUAAAAGGAGCUUACACGAAGGAGGAGCUGAAGGCUGCUGUGGUCGUGUGCUGGGGGCUGCCCCAGCUCCAGCUGCAGGACCCCGGCCGUCUGCCUUCCGACUCCGGUGAUGAUUCUUCCUGCGGUCUGAUCAAGAUUCUAUGCAGUUAACUUUGUAUCCAAGGAUCUAUAGCCAAGAAAUUUGGAGCUCAGUUUCAAACGCCAAAGGAAAUUGUAGUGGGAAAUUCCAAGGGUAGCAGAGUUAUGCAAAGUCACAGAAAAAAGAAAUAAUAGCAGAAAAUAUUGCUAUGAGCAUUGCAAGCAUUCUGAUAGUAGAUGAGAAAACUAAUGGACUGAUGGACUGAUGGAUGGAUGGAUGGAUGGAUGGAUGGACGGAUGGAUGAUGAAUCUUCUAUCUGAGCAGUAAAGUUGAUAAAAGUGAGCAGGAAUCAGAGGAAUGAAGAAUGAAGUUGUCCUCAGGAAAUAAAAGGGGAACCAAGGCUUGCCAGCAAGAAAAUAAGAGGAGACCUGGCAGUGAAUGAAUGAUACAUUUGAUUAAGAAUAAAAAUUUCAGUGUUACUGGGGGAUUUUCUUCACUCAUUUAAGUGAAAUAAAUAACUAGGAGUUAGAAUGUGACCAGACAAUAGAUGGUCUUAAAUAUACCAAUAAGAUUAGGCCUUGUGUUCAAAAUAUAUUUAGCAUAGACAGUAUUUUGAGGCAUCAUAAUUAUUUAAUAGUAAUAACAAAGUUUAUGGAGCAUUUACUGUAUGUCAGGCCCUCUUCUAACUACUUUAGAUGUUAAUCCAGUUUAACCUCCCCAGCAUCCAAGUAGCAACAUACCACAGGCCAGCCAGUGAUGUCUGUCUGCCCUUUUACGUAGGCAAUAAGAAGUUGCAUUUUUCUGUCAAAAAUUUAAAAACAAUUGUAAAACUAUUGUUAUCCCCAUGUAACCAAUAUUGGUAACUCUUUAAAAUGUCAAUGAUAAAAUAGUAGUUCCUGAAACAAAUAAUUUGUUGGCUUAAAUCCUAUAAUUGCUGAUACUGUGAGUUUUGAGUGGCUUUUAUUCUGUCAUUGUGUAUGGUCAGUUGAAGUUUUUAUUAGUUUAAAAUUUCAAACAAUGAAAUAGUGAGAAAUGCAUGAUGGGCUAUUGUGCCUGGUACAGAAAAUAGUUUACUGCAUUUUAAUAAUAUCCUUAGAAUUAAAAUGCCUUAUUCUAUUUAAUUGUUACUUAAUUCUUCAUUUUUGUGACCGACUAAUACAUAGGUAUAUAUACUCUCCCUUUUAUCAAAAAAUCAAUGUAAUUUAAAAAUAUUAAUUUAUUACUCUAUUAUAAUUAUGUUUAAUUUGCUGGCAUAAUUAUAUAUAUACAAAAUUCAAUAAAAUAAAAUGAUCACUGUG